UCUCAGUCAAUCAAAUUUUCCAUAUCCCCAAUUUCUGAAGGCAGCGGACCAGAUAAUUGAUUCACAUGCAAAUAGAGAGUCUCUAGUUUACUUAAGUUAGCUAGAGAAUGAGGGAUUGGACCGCUGAGAUUGUUUUGAUAUAGCACCAACUCAACAAGAUUUUCCAUAUCUCCAAUUUCUGAAGGCAGCAGACCAGAUAAUUGAUUUUCAAACAAAAAGAGCUUCUCUAGUCUACUUAAAUUAGUCAGAGAGUGAGGAAUUGGACCA